rnacentral:rRNA from 1 species
CAGCGUAGGGGGCAAGCGUUGUCCGGAAUUUAUUGGGCGUAAAGAGCUCGUAGGUGGCUGAGUAAGUCGGAUGUUAAUCCCAGGCUCAACCUGGGACACCACCCGAUACUGCUCUGGCUAGGAGUCCGGUAGGGGAGCGUGGAAUUCCUGGUGUAGCGGUGAAAAUGCGCAGAUAUCAGGAGGAACACCAGCGGCGGAAGGCGGCGCUCUGGGCCGGUACUGACACUGAGGAGCGAAAGCG